AUGGCCACAGGAAGAAGUCUAGGCCAUGCUGCUGGAGGAGAGAGAUCCCGGAGGGUGAGAGGCCACCUGGAGGAGAGAGACCCGGAGGGCGAGAGGCCGCCUGGAGGAGAUGAGACCCGGGAGGGUGAGAGGCCGCCUGGAGGAGAUGAGACCCGGGAGGGUGAGAGGCUGCCUGCAGGGAAACAGAAGCCAAGCUCCACCUGCCAGCCCUCUGAGCCAGCCUUCAUGCCAGCAGUUGGUUGCCUUGCACAAAUGCAAGGAAAUAACCUUACUUGCUGCAGAUGGGCAGGGGGCCGUGGUAACAACCCACAGCAGAGACACAUCGGAGCAGGCACGGCGGGGACAGGAGCCACAGUCAGGGUAUCACGUAGGAGAAACCGAAGACUCUCCUUUCUCUUUCCUCACAGGAAAAUACAUGUUUUAAUCAACUGUUUUGCUUGGUGCUGGAGCCAAAGAUUCCUUCCACACAAAAUGCUGGGGAGGUCCGGGUGACUCAGGGCUCUGGUGAUCUGGUCCUCGGCUUGAAGAGGAAUCUAGAAAAGGCUCAGAGUCCCAGGCUCCUGCACGGGGCAGUUGGAACCUCAGGACAGAGCAGGACCCAGGGUCAGGAGCCUGUAGGUCGGGACUAGGAAAGGUGGGUGGAUUAUCGGGACCAGAGCUUGGGGCUCUCUUUUCUAGGCUGGGCGUUAGUUCAGCUGGCACCUCCAGAAGCUGCUGAGACACAGAAGGACCUGAAAAGCCUUGUCAUGUGGCCAUCAUUCCAAUGACCUCAGUGUCUAGAUGGCGGAUGAGUGGUUUUUACUCAGCUGUGUCUCCCUCAGUCCUCCCUGUUAAAGGGGAUAAGGAUGCCUGGGCCCAGCAGAAUGGGCAGCUGAUCCAGCGAGGACCAGCUCACCAGCACCAAGCGGAGGUCUGGUGCCUCUGCCUGCCCUCUCUUGGCCAUGUGUUCACACUGCACGAACCUGAGAUCCCAGAGAGACAGUCUGAGCUGGGGCCAAUGGGUGCAUGCCCUGUGACCAGAUGCGGCCAUUGAGAUGUUCCCUGAAUUUAGUGUGUGGCCGUGGAAGGGAGUGCAAGGGACAUUUGGAGUAUGCCAGAACCAGGAUGGGAGAUGGGAACAGAGAAACCACUAAUAAACCCAGUGGGCAGGCAAGGGUCCAAGUUCUGCUCAGGUUCCUUAAAAGUCGAACAUGGAGUGACUGUACAAUCCAACAAUUCUACUUCUGGGACGCACCUGGGAGAAUGGACAGCAGGGAUUCAGAUACAUUGUCUGCCCACAUUCACAGUGCAUCACUCAGAGUAGCCAAAAUGUGGAAGCAACCCGAGUGUCUAUAAAUGGCAGGAUGGAGAAUCAAAGUGCGGUCUAUCCACACCGUACAAUAGAGUGUUGUUCAGCCACAGAAUGAAUGAAGUGCUACACCUGCUAUAACACGGGCGAACCUUGAAAACACGCUGCCAACUGACAGCAGUCAAACGGAAACGUUCACGUAUUGCACGAUUUCACUUACAUGACACAUGCAGAAUAAAUAAAGCUGCAGAGACGAAAGCAGGUUGGUGGCCAUGGGGGCUGGGAGUUGGGAGUGAUUUUGCUUAAUGGGUGCACAGUUUCCUUUUGGGAUGACACUAAUGUCUUAGAACAAGACAGAGUUGGCUGGGCGGGGUGGCUCACGCCUGUAAUCCCAUCACUUUGGGAGGCCGAGGUGGGUGGAUCACCUGGGGUCAGGAGUUCAAGACCAGCCUGACCAAAAAUACAAAAGUUAGUUGGGCGUGGUGGCACAUGACUGUAAUCCCAGCUACUCAGCAGGCUGAGGCAGGAGAAUCACUUGAACCUUGGAGGCAGAGUUUGCAGCGAACCAAGAUCACACCAUUGCACUCCAGCCUAGGUGACAGCGAGACUCCGUCUCAAAAAAAAAAAAAGAACAAGACAGAGUUGAUGGUUACACAACACAAAGAAUGCAUGAAAUGCCACCAAAUUGUAUGUUUUAAAAUGGUUCACUGUACAUCUUAUUGGAGAAGUGUCUGUUCAUAUCCUUUGCCCACCUUUUAAUGAGAUUAUUUGCUUUUUGCCUGUUGAUUUGUUUAAGUUCCUUAUAGAUUCUGGAUACUAGACUUUUGCCCAAAAGCGGGGAAGGAAGGAAGGGGGAAGUACUGAAAACCUAGCUCACUGCCUGGGUGAUGGGAUCCAUUGUACCCCAAACCUCAGCAUCACACAAUGUACCCAUGUAACAAACCUGCCCAUGUACUCCCAAAUCUAAAAUAAAACUGAACUUAUAACAUAUAUAGGUUCAUUGUUAAUUUUAUGUUAUGUGACGUUUACCUCAAUUUAAAAUCAUAGAGUACAACAGGAACCGGUGGAGAUCAAUGUGAAAGCCGUCUCUCUAUUUUUGGGCUGGGUGGGCUCUGGGACUGGCUCCCACGAAAACAUAGUAUCUAUCAGGGUUGUCAGUGAAAACGCUGCCCAGACUCUAAUUCUGAAGCCUCAUGCUGCAAAGGACACUGUCAUUUCCUA
rnacentral:lncRNA from 10 species